rnacentral:rRNA from 1 species
GACGAACGCUGGCGGCGUGCUUAACACAUGCAAGUCGAACGAAGAGGCGAACGGGGGAGUAAUACGUGGGUAAACUGCCCUCAUUUUUGGGAUAAGCCGUGGGAACGGGGUCUAAUACCGGAUAAAGGGGGAUGGGCUCGCGGCAUAUCAGCUGGGUGGGGGCGAGAUGGCGGACGAAGGCGGUGACGGGUAGCCGUCCUGAGAGGUUGCCCGGCCACAUUGGUACGGGGAUACGUCCCAGACUCCUCCGGGAGGCAGCAGGGUGGGAUAUUGCACAAGGGUCGACAGCCUGAUGCAGCGACGCCGCGUGGGGGUUGAAGGCUUUCGGGUUGUAAACCUCGUUCGCUAUCGAACGGGUAGGUGGAGAAGAAGCGCCGGCUAACUACGUGCCAGCCGCCGCGGUAAUAC